UAGAGGCAGGCAGAUCUCUGUGAGUUCGAGGCCAGCCUGAUCUACAAAGAGAGUUCUGGGACAGCCAGGGCUACACAGAGAAACCCUGUCUCGAAAA
rnacentral:miRNA from 1 species